UACGUAGGAGGCGAGCGUUGUCCGGACUGACUGGGCGUAAAGCGCGCGCAGGCGGUGCGGGGCGUCGGUGCUGAAAUCGGGCCGCUUAACGGCCCGCGGCGUGCCGAUACGCCCGUACUGGAGGGUGGGCGAGGGUGGUGGAAUUGCCGGUGUAGUGGUGAAAUGCGUAGAGAAUCGGCAGGAACACCCGUGGCGAAAGCGGCCACCUAGCCCG
rnacentral:rRNA from 1 species